GUCACGAUCAGAAUGAAAGGUAGUUCGGCUGGGUAUGUGUCCCAGAGGUGCUGGUUCGAAUCCAGCUCGUGACA
rnacentral:tRNA from 2 species